GACGAACGCUGGCGGCGUGCUUAACACAUGCCAGUCGAACGGUGAAGCUCCAGCUUGCUGGAGUGGAUCAGUGGCGAACGGGUGAGUAACACGUGAGCAGCCUGCCCCUGACUCUGGAAUAAGCGCUGGAAACGGCGUCUAAUACUGGAUACGAGAAGGGUCCGCAUGGGCACUUUCUGGAAAGUUUUUCGGUUGGGGAUGGGCUCGCGGCCUAUCAGCUUGUUGGUGAGGUAAUGGCUCACCAAGGCGACGACGGGUAGCCGGCCUGAGAGGGCGACCGGCCACACUGGGACUGAGACACGGCCCAGACUCCUACGGGAGGCAGCAGUGGGGAAUAUUGCACAAUGGGCGAAAGCCUGAUGCAGCGACGCCGCGUGAGGGAUGACGGCCUUCGGGUUGUAAACCUCUUUCAGCAGGGAAGAAGCGAAAGUGACGGUACCUGCAGAAGAAGCACCGGCUAACUACGUG
rnacentral:rRNA from 1 species